AUCUCUCGAGCCCCUACAAGAGAUAUCAAUCACGCCACUGCUCCCUGUAAGUUACAGCGAGCAGUGCAUGAUUGAUAUGUCUUGUAGGGACUUAGAGAGAU
rnacentral:pre_miRNA from 1 species